rnacentral:lncRNA from 1 species
AAUGGGGCAAGGGAGACCAUUUAUUGCAAGAUGCUACACCAAGAUGCUGCACGUGGGACGGGGAGGCCCGAAGAAGCCGCAGGAUCUGCUGGCGACAGCUGCAUCCUCCCAGCUCAGUCCAGCUUGAUGAAGCCGAUGUCCUUGGCGUACUGGCGGAAGCACUGCCGGCACAUGUUCAGGCCGUACUUACGGAUGAGGCCGUGGCGGUUCGAGCACACGCGGCACGAGCGGGAGCCCUGGCCGAAUUUCCUGGGGUGGCUCCAGUAGAGCUGCUGAUGCCCCAUGCUGCCUGCUGCGUGCCCAGCCGUAAGAGGAAGAUGGCGGCCCGCGCAUGCGCUAAUCAACCCUGCCCG